UCUUAGUUUCCCAUAUUGUCCCGAUUAUAGUAUUUGUUAUAAUUUCUGUGGCGCUCUGUGAUUCAUUAAUUGUUGUUUUGUUCCUGUUGCUGUCGCCAGUAGUAGCUCCACUCAAGUGCUCGGUGCUGCCCCUCAGCGGCAAUGUGGAGUUCCAGCCCUUCGUGUGCCAGCUGUGUGUGCAGAGCAGUCAGUGGGCUUGCAGGGAUUCUGUUGUGUCAUCAUCCUCGGUGGGCAUGACCAGGAACAUUCAUACAUUCAGAAAUUACAUCAUAUUUAAGAUAAUUUAAUAUUUAAUGAUUUUGCAUGUUAUUUAGACACACAUUUCAGGGAAAUUGUUGGCAAACUUUGCCUAGGCUUGUGGUAAGCAUUGAAGACCCUCCACUCCUGAUUAUUACUGACAGUUUUGGUAAAAGACUAGAAACAAUUAGUAGAGACCUGCAAAAUUCACAGAUUCAUUCGGUGAUAGGCUAGAAUUCAAACACAUAUACCUCUUAGAUAAUUUUGCUAUUGGCUUACUGUUCAUCUGGGCUAAUCUCAACCAGUUAUAAACCCUCAACCAAAGAAGGAUUGAAUCACAGACAAACCAGCUUAGACGACUUAUAAGUCAGCAGCCAAUGAACUUGCGUUAUUUGCCCGAGUGUACAGGGGUAUGUGCAAUCUAUUCUGAAGGCCAUUGAAACCUGAAUUUUGCAGGUCUCUAACAAUUAGGUAUUGUUGGGUCCUUUGGAAUGAGAGUCCUGUGGUUUACCACUGAACUACCCUUGUUUGUUUCAAAAAAAUAAAAAUAUUUGUCUACAAUGUUUUUAUUUUUGACAUGAAGGGUAAAGAUAUGAAAAUACAAAAGUACAGCUACAAAUCUUUUAAAUGCAAUGCCAAAAGCAAAGAUUUUACAUUUUAACAUUUUCCUUGUUACAGUUGUUUUAUAAUCAUGCAUUAAUAAAUAAAAAGAAAACUUUAUUAAACGAUUACAAACAGAGGAUUGGCUAGAUAUCUUUAACAUGCUAAGUGUAUUCAAAAAUGCUCUACCUUAAUAAGUACAAUAGUUAAAUACAUUAAUGAAUCAUUCCCAACAAAAAACAUUUAACUAAAUAACCAGAACAAGAAUAAUAAAUGGAUUACCAAAGGUAUACAAACUUCCAGCAAAUAUUUAAAAAUACUCCACCACAUAAGAAACAAGGAGUAAGCACUUCCUUCCUUGAAUAUUACAAAAAUUACAAAAACAUUUACAGAAAGGCAUUACAUCAAGCUAAAACGAUUCAAUUAGAAAAAGUAAUUCACCUAAGCCAGGAAAAAGAUAAAAACCACAUGGGGUAUUAUAAAGAAAGAAUCAGGCAUGUCAGAUGUUAAAAGUGAUUGCAUUAAAAAAACUAGAGGCUGAAGGAACCGAACUUAAAGAAGGUGAAAAAAUUGCUUCAGCAUUUAACACGUACUUCGCUAACAUCAGUGAGAAUUUAAAUUCAAACAACAAUGAACCGAUGACGAAAGCUAUAGAACAUUUAAAAACCAAGUGCCAGCCAAAUUCAAAAACUAUUUUUAUAUUUCCAACCACAGAACAAGAAAUUAUAAACAUUAUUAGUAAUCUAAAAAAUACACACACUACAGAUGUUUAUGAUUUAUCAAACAAAAUAAUAAAAAUGUCUAAAAACACCUACGUAAUUGCAAAACCAAUUACAGCUAUCUUUAAUGAAGCAUUGGUAGGAGUGGUACCUGAUUGUUUAAAAUUAGAUAGGGUCCUGCCUCUGUAUAAAAAAGGUAACCCAACAAAUCCAGAAACUAUAGGCCUAUUAGUAUCCUACCUAUAAUUGCAAAAAUAUUUGAAGGGGUUGCAUAUAAAAGAAUUAUUUCAAUUUUUACCCAUAACAACAUAUUAAGAAGUCAAUAUGGUUUCCAAAAAAAUAAAACAUCAGCAGCCAUUAAUGAAUUCAUAAAUAAAGUCUUAAAUGCACUGGAUAAUAAUACCUUAUCAUUAGGACUUUUUUGUGAUUUAUCCAAAGCUUUCGAAUUAGUCAAUCAUGCAAUUCUCCCAGAUAAACUAUAUCACUAUGGCAUAAGGGGCACAGCACACAAAUUAAUGGAAUCAUAUCUGAAGGAAACGAAACAGAGGGUAGAAAUUAAAAAUGUAAUUGGUAAGAAAUAUUCAAAUUGGUCAAUUGUCAGAGAUGGGGUGCCACAGGGCAGCAAUUUAGCACCAUUACUAUUUUUAAUAUAUAUAAAUGACAACUCUACCAAUAGACCAAGGUCAGCUUAUCCUUUUUGCAGAUGAUACAUAAGUUAUAAUCACUGGGGAAACUUCAAAAUCAGUACAGGAGAAAACCAACGGAGCCAUUGAACAGAUGAAAAAUUGGUUCUCAUACCACAAACUUGUAUUGAAUGUAGGGAUGGGAAAACCGAUUCCCAAUUUCAUUGAUACCUACCGAUUCUACUUAAAUAAUCGAGAAUCGAUGAUAAAAGUCGAUUCCCGCAUGUAGCAAAAUAAAAUCAUUUCACAAAAUUGCAAAUCUGUCAGAUACAAUUAUUUAACGACUCUUUGAGUGGGGUUAUGACUGACUAGACGCAUAUAUAACAGUCAUAUUUCCCCAAAUAAACAAUAUCUAAAACUUGGGUCGAUGUUAUAAACAAGUCAAAGUACAAACAUUAUUUAUAAAAAUAUUAUCACUGCGUAUUCUUUUCGUGAUCGCGAUUAAACGACGAUAAACGCGAAAUCACCGUAAAAUACAGUUUAUACGCGAAAUCGCCACAAAACAGCGUUUUUCCACGAAAUUUAGUAUUAAAAUGCGAAAUCGCAAUGUUUUUACAGGAAAUUUAAAUACUGUGUAAAAGACUUGUCUCGUCACUGGUAAACACCGCAACAUGGCCGCCACUAAACAUUAAUCAUAAAUGCACUAAAGCAAACAAAAGCUUACACACGCUCACGUUAUAAUGUUAAACCCAAAAAUAUAGUGUAAACAUACGCAAAACUACGGCGUUUAUUUUCCUUCCCGGCAUAAUGUUUGGAUAGAUAUCACAAGCAGGUGAAGUUUUAAAGCCUACGCUUUAGUGCUCGGGGCACUGACGACAGCUUGGAACAGCGACAACGGAUAAAUACAAAAGCAAGCAGAUGAUUGGGCGAACGGUGUUUGUAACAGCCUUACGUGAGUGGCCAUACCACGUCAGCCGGGGGCGCUGGCAUAUAGUUGGAACAGCGUCGUAGUAUCAAGCAGAUUAUAACGGGCGAACCAGGUACCAGGCUCUGUACUUCGUCACCCAGCCGUACGUGGCAGCACAAGCAUUUUAAAACGCGCCAAAAAGCAGGAAAAUGUAAACAAACAUUCAUUUUCGAAUGGUGUGACGAUGAUGAUUAGUUGGUCAACAGUGUUUUAUAGAUUUUGUUGGGUCAUUACCACAACGCCGAAAUAACAACGAAUGAAUUUGUGUGUGUUUCUUAAAUGUAACUUAAUGCUGAAAUACCACAAUCAAGUACAACACUUUCAUUUGCUAGUUCUCUAGUUGCUUAAUUUUGUUACUGUUUCAUUUCACAAUUUUUUUAGUUAAUUUGUACCCUUCUCUAAGUUAGGCAAGUUGUAUUAACGAAAAUAAUUUAUACUGCUCAAGGAAAGCUUAAAAUGUUAUUUUAUAGUUUAUUCCGUAUUACAAAACAAAUUUUAGAUUAGUUUGACCCCUUUGACAUAUGAGCCAUUAACUUCUAAUAAUGUAAACAUUUAUAUGAGUUAAUGUUAAUAACUUAGUUGUGUACUCAAAUUUGAUAAAUAUGAAUUUAUGAUGUAUGCUACAUGAUAUAUGUAUUGAAAGCUGAUAAAAAAAUGUUGCAAAUAGAAUUUGAAUUAUUUAAUAUAAGUUAACUAGGUGAGUAUCGAGUAUCGAGAAUCAAAGGAUUUUUUAAGGAAUCGAUAAUCGGGUAUCGGAAUCGAAAAUUUUGGAAUCGUCCCAUCCUUAAUUGAAUUUCUCUAAAACUAAUUAUAUUAAAUUCAGAAAUAGGACCAAAGUAUAUGAAAACAAGUUUGACAUAAAAUUCAAUGGAAACAAUAUCUUGCAGGUUAACUCAGUAAAUUUCGUAGGGGUAUAUAUUGAUGAGCAAUUAGAAUUUACGGAACACAUAAAUAAUAUUGCGAAAACAAUUAAAUUCAGCCUGCUAUGUCUUGAGGUAUCUUGUAGAAUUAGUCGAUUUAAAAACAAUUAAAACUGUGUAUCAUGAAUAUUUCCAUACAAUCAUGUCUUAAAGAUAAAAAAACAUCUAGUUGCAUACAAAAAUUAAAACAAAUAGGAAUACUAACAUUUACAAAUGAAUAAAUAUACAGAACAUUAAUAUUCUGCUAUAGACACCAAACCAAAUUUAAAAGAAGCAAAGAUAUCCAUCAUAAUACUCGAGGAUGCAAUAAAUUGAGACCCAUACAACACACCAGUACUCAAUUUGAGAUAGGAAUAGAGCACAUUGGCAGAAUACUACUUAAUAUCUUACCUUACAAAUUAAUGGAAAUCAGCAACAUAGAUAAAUAUAAAGCUUCCAUAAAAAAUAUACUUGUAUGCAAUCCAUUUUACAAUUUAAAAGAAUUUAUGGAGUAUACUGCUGAAAGAGGGGAAGCAUUCUGGAACAGCCAGACUCCCUUUUAUAGCUACAAUGACUAACAACAAUAUCCUAAUACCCUAAAUCCUGCUUAAUGUAUUUUUCCUUAAUAAAUAUAAGAAAUUGCUUGGCAUGUCUUGUCUAUGGGUGUGUAUAAAAAAAAUAAUGUAUUUGCAAUUCAGAUUGAAGGAACUUUGUUACUAUUUGUUUUACUUCAAAGUUGUGUAUAUAUGGAACUAUAUGUGUAUGUAAAACUGUGUAUAUGUGGAACGAAUGUAUAGCUGUAAAUAUGUAAAUGACAUGUUCCAUAGCUUUAUGGUUUCUACCAAAAGAAGGCUCAAUGGAAUACAAAUGGAUAAAUAAAUAAAAUUUAAAAAAGAUAA